GCCUGCGUGGUGUAAUGGUCAGCAAACUCGACUCAUAUUUGAGAGGUCCGAAGUUCGAGUCCUGUCGAGGGCG
rnacentral:tRNA from 1 species